CCAGUUUUCCAUUAGCACACAAAUCAUACACAUCAACAACCUCAAAUGGCAUAAUUGCACUAGUUCUAGAGUUCUAGGCCUCCCAAAGUUUCCUAUAGGCUCUAUCUGUUGGGUUACUUGACAAUUUGAGAUGAAUGAUGGCAUAGGAUUAGGCAACAAGUUAGACUGACACUUUGCCCCCAAAACAAUUGAUUAAGUUUUUGAGGAAUGAGUUCAGAUUGCAUAUUAUGCAAGUAUGUCUCUGCAAUUGUGGGUGUAGGUGUGUGACUGUAUGUGCAGGGCUUCAUGGCCUGUGGUCUUGAUCAAUUAUGGGUGUGGGUGUGUGACUGUAUGUGCAGGGGUUAAUGGCCUGCGGUCUUGAUCAAUUGUGGGUGUGGGUGUGUGACUGUAUGUACAGGGGUUGAUGGCAUGUGGGCUUGAUGGCUUGUAGUAUUUCCAAGUUCUCUAUUCUGAUUUUUUUCUAUACUACUAAUUUUCUAGAGAAAAAUCGAACUAAAUUAAUGUGAAGUAAAUUUCAUAUAAUUCAGAUGAAAUGCCACUAGGAGCUAUGACUAUCUGUUUGUAGACAGGAAGCAAAUGUAGAUCUCCCAUUAAAUGUUUUAAUAUUAUUUGUAUAUCUAACCAUGGUGAUUGAAUCCAUAUAUUACUAAUUUGGAAACCAACGUCAUUGUUUUUGUUCAUGGAGGUAGGUUUGGUGCUUGGUGCUGGUACAGUACCAUGUCACAACUUGAAGAUAGCAAAGUCAAUGCAAUGGUGUUGAUGUACCGAUCAUCAGUCAAGAAUUUUUAGUAGAAGCAGCUUCCAUGAUGGUGGAGACAAGGUGAUUUCAUCCUUGUAUAAAAUGACAUCUACUCUCUGAAGUAUAUAAUUUAGUUAUGAGAAGUUGGGAAAUGCUAAAGACAUACUCCACUUUCAUGUAUUCGCUUGAAGAUUUGAAAUUUGUGGUUUAAAUAAGAUGCCAGCGAUGUUUAUGAUGGUCACCAGUUGCUUAGUUUACUACCAAGUAACUAUCGAUGUUAUAGAUAGUUCCAUAGCCUUAUACAUAACUGAUUUCUCUGGUAGAGGGGCGACUUUUUUCCAUUAGCCGCUGAUGAAUCAUGAAACCAUCAUCUUGUAGUAUUUCUCAUAUAUUACUGUAGAAAGAAUAUAAGAGCCAAUUUCUGAAGGAACUUCUGGGUUGCUAUUUUAUUCUUCUUGAUGGUACUCUUUUAGGUCAUUUGAGUUAUUUUGCCUUUUCUAGUUUUGGGUGGCAGUGGUAAUCUAAAAUCAAGUGUUGCCCCAAGUGGACGGCAGUGCCAUGUUUGCUGGUCCGCAGCUCAAACCCAUUGGCGUUAUCUCUGCAAGGGAAGGGCGGAGGAGUGAAUAUGUAAAGUGUUAACCUCUCCGUGGGUGAAGCUGAAGCAAGGUUUAACAUGCUCUGUGAUUCAUUGUUCUGGUACCUACGCAGCCUGGCUCCGGCGAGGACGUCGCAUCACCGCCGGAACCAAGCUCGCCUACGCACAAGCACACAAAGGAGUACAAUCUCAUUUUGCAUGUGAAUGAGGUCAUCGACCGCGGCCCUUUGAUGAUGGAGGGUCCCGAUUUCUACCCUGACGAUGGCGAAGACCUGAGCCACAGGCACAAAUUUAAGACCUGGUGGUCUUUAUGGCGAGACAUGAUUGGAAUUUGCCAUAAUCCUUUUCUUCUGUGUUUACUUCAGUUUUUAAUGUUUCGGACUAGCUGUUUUUUUUAUCAAGUUUGGUACUACUAGUGUUUACCUCGGUUCAGUUUAUCAUUCUGUUAGUUAUCUA